UACGUAGGUGGCAAGCGUUGUCCGGAUUUAUUGGGUUUAAAGGGUGCGUAGGCGGUUUUUUAAGUCCGUGGUGAAAUACUUCAGCUCAACUGGAGAGGUGCCAUUGAUACUGGAAAACUUGAGUACUGAUGAGGUAGGUGGAAUGGACGGUGUAGCGGUGAAAUGCUUAGAUAUCGUCCAGAACACCGAUAGCGAAGGCAGCUUACUAAGGAGUAACCGACGCUGAGGCACGAAAGUGUGGGGAGCAAACAGG
rnacentral:rRNA from 1 species